GAUGAACGCUGGCGGCGUGCCUAAUACAUGCAAGUCGAGCGAACGGACGAGAAGCUUGCUUCUCUGAUGUUAGCGGCGGACGGGUGAGUAACACGUGGAUAACCUACCUAUAAGACUGGGAUAACUUCGGGAAACCGGAGCUAAUACCGGAUAAUAUUUUGAACCGCAUGGUUCAAAAGUGAAAGACGGUCUUGCUGUCACUUAUAGAUGGAUCCGCGCUGCAUUAGCUAGUUGGUAAGGUAACGGCUUACCAAGGCAACGAUGCAUAGCCGACCUGAGAGGGUGAUCCGCCACACUUGAACUGAGUCACGGUCCAGGCUCCUACGGGAGGCAGCAUUAGCGAAUCUUCCGCAAUGGGCGAAAGCCUGACGGAGCAACGCCGCGUGAGUGAUGAAGGUCUUCGGAUCGUAAAACUCUGUUAUUAGGGAAGAACAUAUGUGUAAGUAACUGUGCACAUCUUGACGGUACCUAAUCAGAAAGCCACGGCUAACUACGUG
rnacentral:rRNA from 1 species